UGAAGCAUGACCGUAAGGACAUGUGGACAGUAUGGGAGUGAGAAUGUUGGCAUGAGUAGCGAGAUGUGGGUGAGAAUCCCACAGGCCGUAAACCCAAGGUUUCCAGGGGAAGGUUCGUCCGCCCUGGGUUAGUCGGGACCUAAGCUGAGGCCGAAAGGCGUAGGUGAUGGACAACAGGUUGAGAUUCCUGUACUACCGAUAACCGUUUGAGAGAAGGGAUGACACAGUAGGAUAAGCUAAGCACACUGUUGGUUAUGUGUGCCCAAGCAUUGAGGCAGUCAAAGUAGGCAAAUCCGCUUUGAUAAUGCUG
rnacentral:rRNA from 1 species